GAUGAACGCUGGCGGCGUGCCUAAUACAUGCAAGUCGAGCGAACAGACGAGGAGCUUGCUCCUCUGACGUUAGCGGCGGACGGGUGAGUAACACGUGGAUAACCUACCUAUAAGACUGGGAUAACUUCGGGAAACCGGAGCUAAUACCGGAUAAUAUAUUGAACCGCAUGGUUCAAUAGUGAAAGACGGUUUUGCUGUCACUUACAGAUGGAUCCGCGCCGCAUUAGCUAGUUGGUAAGGUAACGGCUUACCAAGGCAACGAUGCGUAGCCGACCUGAGAGGGUGAUCGGCCACACUGGAACUGAGACACGGUCCAGACUCCUACGGGAGGCAGCAGUAGGGAAUCUUCCGCAAAGGGCGAAAGCCUGACGGAGCAACGCCGCGUGAGUGAUGAAGGUCUUCGGAUCGUAAAACUCUGUUAUUAGGGAAGAACAAAUGUGUAAGUAACUAUGCACGUCUUGACGGUACCUAAUCAGAAAGCCACGGCUAACUACGUG
rnacentral:rRNA from 1 species